GUUUGUUUGCUGCUUUUUUUUUUUUUUAAUGUUUGUUUGUAGCAAUGACGUUAGUUGACCUGUUGAACCUGUCGACGGCUACACAUAAAAGGCUGCAAAUAAAUCAGAUUGAUCCGGCCCAACUCCACCUGCUUACAUUCAAUCCGACGUAUUUUGGAGGACCUAUGGGGACGGAUUGGAUUCUAGGAUCUAUUCCAUUUUUUAUGCUGAAUUUAAGUUUAUUGAAUUCAAAUCCGACUCGACCAAUUUGAAGUUUGAAUAAUUUUGAAUUUUCAAUUCUACGAUCCGGUCCGAAUCUAUAAAAUUAUUUGGGCUUGCAAGCCGCAGGGUGCAAACAAGUUCUGAAGCUAUAAAUGGUUUGAUCCAAGCUGGAUCCGAAUUUUUUGAGUUGAGUCUAAAUUAUACAUAGAUCUGACCCAGCUCGAAUGACUCGUUAAGUCAAAAAUUGUAACGGUGGAUCCGGUCCAAUCUAAUUCGGUUUUCUAUUAGAUUGAGUCUGGAUUCAAAAUUAAAACUCAGAACAAAACAGUUUGGAUCAGAAUUCUUAAUGAUUUGAUUUGACCCCACACAUUUGCACUCUUGAGGCUGGAGUGCGGUUUCCAAACGCGCCAGCCAUGGUACCCAAUAAGCAAUGUCUUGUGU
rnacentral:lncRNA from 1 species